UGCAGUCGAGUGCGCAGUCUGCUGUAGCAAUACAGCAGAUCGGCGCACGGCGCACGGGUGCGUAACACGUGGGUAACCUGCCCUCCAAAGGGGGAUAACCCGCCGAAAGGCGGGCUAAUACCGCAUGACAUUCCGGUGGCUUCGGCCGCCGGAAUCAAAGCCCGCAAGGGCGUUGGAGGAGGGGCCCGCGGCCGAUUAGCUUGUUGGCGAGGUAACGGCUCACCAAGGCUUUGAUCGGUAGCCGGUCUGAGAGGAUGGCCGGCCACACUGGAACUGAGACACGGUCCAGACUCCUACGGGAGGCAGCAGUGGGGAAUCUUGCGCAAUGGGCGAAAGCCUGACGCAGCGACGCCGCGUGGGGGAUGAAGCUUCUCGGAGUGUAAACCCCUUUCGACCCGGACGAAACACCCGCAAGGGUUUGACGGUACGGGUAUAAGAAGCCCCGGCUAACUACGUGCCAGCAGCCGCGGUAAGACGUAGGGGGCCAGCGUUGCUCGGAAUUACUGGGCGUAAAGGGUUCGUAGGCGGUGUGGUAAGUCGGAAGUGAAAUCUCUGGGCUUAACUCAGAGGCUGCUUUCGAAACUGCCGCGCUAGAGUGCGGGAGAGGCGAGUGGAAUUACAGGUGUAGCGGUGAAAUGCGUAGAUAUCUGUAGGAACACCCGGUGGCGAAGGCGGCUCGCUGGACCGCAACUGACGCUGAGGAACGAAAGCUAGGGGAGCAAACAGGAUUAGAUACCCUGGUAGUCCUAGCCCUAAACCAUCAGGACUUGGGGUGGCCCGCGUUGGCGGGUCGUCCCGGAGCUAACGCGUUAAGUCCUGCGCCUGGGGAGUACGGUCGCAAGGCUGAAACUCAAAGGAAUUGACGGGGGCCCGCGCAAGCGG
rnacentral:rRNA from 1 species